AGUCUCUUGUCCCUGAACAGUCCUGCAAAAAGCAUAAAUGUGAAAGUUCUAGUUAAGAAUUCUUUUACACUUCAUUUGUUUGGAAGAAGAAAAGUGGAGGAAGGAAAGGCGGAAAGGGAACCGUAUUUAGCUUGUUUGUUGGGCAUAAAUAUAACAAAGUAAAAGUUAUAAGUUUUCAUUCCACUUGGACCCAGAAAAUCUAAUCCAUUCAAAAGCUAACAGAUUUGUAGCCACACCUAAAAAUCUUUCUAUUAACUUUUGCAUUUUUCCCUUCCUCUACUCCCCCCCUCUAUCCCACAUUAAAAAUCCAUCUUUUUAUCAUCUCUUUCUGUAAUUUAGACCCUUCAAAAAGUUAAAGUAGAGUUAUCAAUAAAUUCCUUCAUCAGAUUAAUAUCUCAUACAAAUUUCUUGUUUCUCUUAAAACAUGACUGAUUCAAUGGUGGAAUGGCAAGUGUAAUAUGAACUAAGCAUGCAUCAAGAGUGUUAUCAGAGAAUUUGAAUGUUUGAUGCAUUUUCCUAAAAUUUUGAGCCUUUUCAAAAACAACUAGUUUUAUAGAAAGAGGUAGUACAAUGUAAAAUCUUGCAACACAGUUUCAUAGACAUACAUAUAUCCUUCCCUCUUACGCCUUCCCCCAGUUUCCUCCUCAACCACACAGUAUUAAAGGCAUAAAUACAUAUAUAAACAAAACCACAUGAUCUCUAAAAUCUGCAAAAGAGGAGGCAGAGGAGAUGAAGAAGAAGAAGAAGA
rnacentral:misc_RNA from 1 species